CAGCGCCACAAGUAGGAACCAUGUUUAUUUGGUCUAAAGCGUCCGUAGCUGGUUCAGUAAAUUUUUUGUGAAAUCAUUGGACUUAAUCCAAUGGAUUGCAGGAAAGACUGCUGAACUUGGAACCGGGAGGAGUCAGAGGUAUUCUUGGGGGAGCGGUAAAAUGCUAUAAUCCAAAGAGGACCACCUGUGGCGAAGGCGUCUUGCUAGAACGGAUCCGACGGUGAGGGACGAAAGCCAGGGGAGCGAUCCGGAUUAGAUACCCGCGUAGUCC
rnacentral:rRNA from 1 species